rnacentral:rRNA from 1 species
GAUGAACGCUGGCGGCGUGCCUAAUACAUGCAAGUCGAGCGAAUGGAUUAAGAGCUUGCUCUUAUGAAGUUAGCGGCGGACGGGUGAGUAACACGUGGGUAACCUGCCCAUAAGACUGGGAUAACUCCGGGAAACCGGGGCUAAUACCGGAUAACAUUUUGAACCGCAUGGUUCGAAAUUGAAAGACGGCUUCGGCUGUCACUUAUGGAUGGACCCGCGUCGCAUUAGCUAGUUGGUGAGGUAACGGCUCACCAAGGCAACGAUGCGUAGCCGACCGAGGAGGGUGAUCGGCCACACUGGGACUGGGACACGGCCCAGACUCCUACGGGAGGCAGCAGUAGGGAAUCUUCCGCAAUGGACGAAAGUCUGACGGAGCAACGCCGCGUGAGUGAUGAAGGCUUUCGGGUCGUAAAACUCUGUUGUUAGGGAAGAACAAGUGCUUGUUGAAUAAGCUGGCACCUUGACGGUACCUAACCAGAAAGCCACGGCUAACUACGUGCCAGCCGCCGCGGUAA